rnacentral:rRNA from 1 species
CUACGGGGGCGCAGCAGUGGGGAAUAUUGGACAAUGGGCGAAAGCCUGAUCCAGCAAUGCCGCGUGAGUGAUGAAGGCCUUAGGGUUGUAAAGCUCUUUUACCCGGGAUGAUAAUGACAGUACCGGGAGAAUAAGCUCCGGCUAACUCCGUGCCAGCAGCCGCGGUAAUACGGAGGGAGCUAGCGUUGUUCGGAAUUACUGGGCGUAAAGCGCACGUAGGCGGCUUUGUAAGUUAGAGGUGAAAGCCUGGAGCUCAACUCCAGAAUUGCCUUUAAGACUGCAUCGCUCGAAUCCAGGAGAGGUGAGUGGAAUUCCGAGUGUAGAGGUGUAAUUCGUAGAUAUUCGGAAGAACACCAGUGGCGAAGGCGGCUCACUGGACUGGUAUUGACGCUGAGGUGCGAAAGCGUGGGGAGCAAACAGGAUUAGAUACCCCGGUAGUC